rnacentral:piRNA from 1 species
CUGAUGGAGGCUGAUGCUCAA